AUCUAUUUAACGAGUCCCAAACAGAACGAAACUCGCGUCCUGGAU
rfam:Schistosoma curassoni strain Dakar, Senegal genome assembly, scaffold: SCTD_scaffold0008982